rnacentral:rRNA from 1 species
CGCGUGCGGCUGCUUACAAUGCAGUCGAACGGUGAACCCAGCUUGCUGGGUGGAUCAGUGGCGAACGGGUGAGUAACACGUGAGCAACCUGCCCUCCACUUCGGGAUAAGCCUUGGAAACGGGGUCUAAUACCGGAUAUGAGCACUCAUCGCAUGGUGGGUGUUGGAAAGUUUUUCGGUGGGGGAUGGGCUCGCGGCCUAUCAGCUUGUUGGUGGGGUGAUGGCCUACCAAGGCGUCGACGGGUAGCCGGCCUGAGAGGGCGACCGGCCACACUGGGACUGAGACACGGCCCAGACUCCUACGGGAGGCAGCAGUGGGGAAUAUUGCACAAUGGGCGCAAGCCUGAUGCAGCGACGCCGCGUGAGGGAUGACGGCCUUCGGGUUGUAAACCUCUUUCAGCAGGGAAGAAGCGCAAGUGACGGUACCUGCAGAAGAAGCGCCGGCUAACUACGUGCCAGCAGCCGCGGUAAUACGUAUGGCGCAAGCGUUGUCCGGAAUUAUUGGGCGUAAAGAGCUCGUAUGCGGUCUGUCGCGUCUGGUGUGAAAUCCCGAGGCUCAACCUCGGGCUUGCAUCGGGUACGGGCAGACUAGAGUGCGAUAGGGGAGACUGGAAUUCCUGGUGUAGCGGUGGAAUGCACAGAUAUCAUGAGGAACACCGAUGGCGAAGGCAGGUCUCUGGGCCGCAACUGACGCUGAAGAGCGAAAUAUGGGGAGCGAACAGGAUUAUAUACCCUGGUAGUCCAUGCCGUAACGUUGGGCACUAGGUGUGGGGCUCAUUCACGAGUUCCUGCCACAGCUAACGCAUUAGUGCCCCGCCUGGGGAGUACGGCCGCAGGCUAAACUCAAGGAAUGACGAGGGCCCGCACAGCGGCGGAGCAGCGGAUUAAUCCAUGCACCCGAAGACCUUACCAUGCUUGAAUGUACGAGAACCGCUAAAAUAGCGGACCUUUGGACACUCUAUACGGUGGUGCAUGCUUCGCCGCCCUGUCAGAAAAGUUGGG